AUGGCGCCGCCGCCGCCGCCACCGAACGAAGGGGACCUCGCCACGCCGGCCGCGCUGCGGGCGCCGGCGGACGUGAUCUCCCGGGUCUUCUCGCAGCUGGACUGCGUCGACCUCCUCAGCUGCUCCCUCGUCUGCAGGCAGUGGUGCCGCGAUUCUGCGGAGCUACGGGAAGAGUGGAGGAUGGAGUACAUGGACGCCUGGAACCUGCAGGGCCUCAACGUCAAGUCUGAUACCCGAUCGCCAUGCCCAACUUGCUCCAUCAGAAGCCUUCGAACCUGGUGCCCUUGA
rnacentral:rRNA from 1 species